AUUGAACGCUGGCGGCAGGCCUAACACAUGCAAGUCGAACGAGUGGCGGACGGGUGAGUAAUGUCUGGGAAACUGCCUGAUGGAGGGGGAUAACUACUGGCAACGGUAGCUAAUACCGCAUACCAUCGGAUGUGCCCAGAUGGGAUUAGCUAGUAGGUGGGGUAACGGCUCACCUAGGCGACGAUCCCUAGCUGGUCUGAGAGGAGGACCGGCCACACUGGAACUCGGACACUGUCCAGAGUCCUACGGGAGGCAGCAGUGGGGCAUAUUGCACAAUGGGCGCAAGCCUGAUGCAGCCAUGCAGCGUGUAUGAAGAAGGCCUUCGGGUUGUAAAGCACUUUCAGCGGGGGGGCGUGACCCGCAGAAGAAGCACCGGCUAACUCCGGGCCAGCAGCCGCGGUAAUAC
rnacentral:rRNA from 1 species